GGCACCAUCUACCACAAUGUACAUUCGUUCGGGCCUAGCUCACGUCCAGAACAUCUGCAGUUGUACUUCUAUGAUGACGACCCAACCAUAACUCAUCGUAAGGCGGCCACCAAGCAAUUAGACCAGGAUGUCGCGAAGAAGUUAAUACACAUACUCAAAGAAAACCCGUACUCCCGGCAAUUUAGGAGUUUGGGUGCACACAAGGACAACCUCGACCAUUAUAGGAUAGACCUAAACACUGAUAAGAGGCUUGACCAAAGAAGAUAUAAUAGACCGUUGUCAUCUAAGGUCGCUGCAAUUUGGGUUGAGGGCAACGACCUAGAAAAAUGGUUUGAUCGGAGGAUAACACUUUGCGGUAACAACAAUGAAAGGCACAGUAUACGUGUGACCUCCGGAGCAUAUGACCCAUUGUCUUAUCCCCUAUUCUAUCCAAGGGGGGAACUAGGUUGGCAUCCAAAGCUACCUAAACGUAAUGUUCCUUGGGAGGUUGUACUAAAUCCUCAACUGGGCCUUGAUGAUGACGAUGAUGCAGGUAUGUCGUAUGCGUCCCACUUUGUUACAAAUAAUAUCUUAUUUCUCGAAUAUAUCCUUAUUUUGAUGGUACUCGAUCACUUGCAG
rnacentral:rRNA from 1 species